UACGGAGGGGGCUAGCGUUGUUCGGAAUUACUGGGCGUAAAGCGCACGUAGGCGGCCUUCUAAGUCAGACGUGAAAUCCCCCGGCUUAACCUGGGAACUGCGUCUGAUACUGGAGGGCUUGAGUAUGGGAGAGGGAUGUAGAAUUCCAGGUGUAGCGGUGAAAUGCGUAGAUAUCUGGAGGAAUACCGGUGGCGAAGGCGGCAUCCUGGACCAUUACUGACGCUGAGGCGCGAAAGCUAGGGGAGCGAACGGG
rnacentral:rRNA from 1 species